CACAGAAUUCACACUACCCACACGGGCAGACACCAUAAACUGAGAAAUUCACAGAAAAAUUGGCUGAGAGCCAUGGCAACUCAGGAGGCCCCAGCAUGGGCAAAUGCAGAUCUGCCUCAGAGGGGCACCCACACAAUGCAGUCCACAGGGGGCUCCUAAGGGAAAACUAAAACCAGAAGAAUCAACAUUCUAGAAAUGACAGAGGCAGCUGUGGAAAUGAAAAACUCAAAUGGAUGGCUCUGUGAGGCUAAGACAAUUUUUAUUGCACAAACUAGAGGGGUAGUAUAUGAACAAAUUUAAAAAAUAAUCUCAUAUAUGAACAGAUAUGCAAAGAUUCUAAAUGAAAGAAUUACAAAUCAAACUCAGCACACAUCUAGACACAUUGUAUUAAAACUGCAGAUCACCCAAGACAGAGACCUAAAAGCAGGGAAAGAAAAAAUGCAGAUCAUCCGCAAAGGAAUCCUGAUUAGACUGAUGGCAGAUUCUCAAUAGCAACAACAAAAGCCAGAAAAAAGGGGCUCAAUAUAAAAUGAUUUAUAUUAUUUUAUACAUGCAUAUUUUGUACUCACGGCUUGUUUUUGUACACGGUUUUUGAAAUGCGGUAUGUAUUUUAUCCUUACAGCACAUUUCAAGUGCUCAGUAGCUACAGGUGGAUAGUGGCUACUGUUUGGAUAUUUAAAAGGUAAAGGU
rnacentral:lncRNA from 1 species